rnacentral:snRNA from 1 species
AUCAUUUCUCGGCCUUUUGGCUAAGAUCGAAUGUCAUAUCUGUUCUUAUCAGCUUAACUUAGAAUUAUUAAACCCUGAUAUCUCAUUGCUAGAAAUGACAGAGAAAUCAUUAAUCCACUGGCCCUCCUCUUAUAGAUGGAGAAGAUGACCACUCAUGAGGUUAAGCAAGGUAUUUCCAGGCUGUAAAAACUAU